GACGAACGCUGGCGGCGUGCUUAAUACAUGCAAGUCGAACGGAAAGGCCCCCUUGUGGGGUACUUGAGUGGCGAACGGGUGAGUAACACGUCAGUAACAUACCCUUGACUUUGGGCUGACUUCAGGUAACUGGGGCUAAUAUCGGAUCGGAGCUCCUGCUGCACGGUGGGGGUUGGUAAGUUUCGGCGGUUGGGGAUGGACUCGCGGCUUAUCCGCUUGUUAGUGGGGUAGUGGCUCACCAAGGCUUUGACGGGUAGCCGGCCUGAGAGGGUGACCGGCCACAUUGGGACUGAGAUACGGCCCAGACUCCUACGGGAGGCAGCAGUGGGGAAUAUUGCACAAUGGGCGGAAGCCUGAUGCAGCAACGCCGCGUGCGGGAUGACGGCCUUCGGGUUGUAAACCGCUGUCGCCGGUGACGAAGCGUGAGUGACGGUAAUGGGUAAAGAAGCACCGGCUAACUACGUG
rnacentral:rRNA from 1 species